CAGUCGAGCGGUAGAGAGAAGCUUGCUUCUCUUGAGAGCGGCGGACGGGUGAGUAAUGCCUAGGAAUCUGCCUGGUAGUGGGGGAUAACGCUCGGAAACGGACGCUAAUACCGCAUACGUCCUACGGGAGAAAGCAGGGGACCUUCGGGCCUUGCGCUAUCAGAUGAGCCUAGGUCGGAUUAGCUAGUUGGUGAGGUAAUGGCUCACCAAGGCGACGAUCCGUAACUGGUCUGAGAGGAUGAUCAGUCACACUGGAACUGAGACACGGUCCAGACUCCUACGGGAGGCAGCAGUGGGGAAUAUUGGACAAUGGGCGAAAGCCUGAUCCAGCCAUGCCGCGUGUGUGAAGAAGGUCUUCGGAUUGUAAAGCACUUUAAGUUGGGAGGAAGGGCAGUAACCUAAUACGUUAUUGUUUUGACGUUACCGACAGAAUAAGCACCGGCUAACUCUGUGCCAGCAGCCGCGGUAAUACAGAGGGUGCAAGCGUUAAUCGGAAUUACU
rnacentral:rRNA from 1 species